UUUAUGGAGAGUUUGAUCCUGGCUCAGGAUGAACGCUGGCGGCGUGCCUAAUACAUGCAAGUCGAGCGAACAGACGGGGAGCUUGCUCCCCCGACGUUAGCGGCGGACGGGUGAGUAACACGUGGGUAACCUACCUAUAAGACUGGAAUAACUCCGGGAAACCGGGGCUAAUGCCGGAUAACAUGUUGAACCGCAUGGUCCUACAGUGAAAGACGGUCUUGCUGUCACUUAUAG
rnacentral:rRNA from 1 species